rnacentral:rRNA from 1 species
GAUCCUGGCUUAGGAUGAACGCUGGCGGCGUGCUUAACACAUGCAAGUCGAACGGAGUUUUAACGGAAGUUUCGGAUGGAAGUUAAAACUAGUGGCGGACGGGUGAGUAACGCGUGGGUAACCUGCCUCAUACAGGGGGAUAACAGUUAGAAAUGACUGCUAACACCGCAUAAUAUAGCGAAACCGCAUGAUUUUGCUAUCAAAUAUUUAUAGGUAUGAGAUGGGCCCGCGUCUGAUUAGCUAGUUGGUGGGGUAAAAGCCUACCAAGGCGACGAUCAGUAGCCGGCUUGAGAGAGUGACCGGCCACAUUGGGACUGAGACACGGCCCAAACUCCUACGGGAGGCAGCAGUGGGGAAUAUUGGACAAUGGGGGAAACCCUGAUCCAGCGACGGCCCGCGUGAGUGAAGAAGUAUUUCGGUAUGUAAAGCUCUAUCAGCAGGGAAGAUAAUGACAGUACCUGACUAAGAAGCCCCGGCUAACUACGUGCCAGCAGCAGC